UACGUAGGGAGCGAGCGUUGUCCGGAUUUAUUGGGCGUAAAGAGCUCGUAGGCGGUUUGGUAAGUCGGGUGUGAAAGCUCCGGGCUCAACUCGGAGAGGUCACUCGAUACUGCCAUGACUGGAGUCCGGUAGGGGGGUGUGGAAUUCCCAGUGUAGCGGUGAAAUGCGCAGAUAUCAGGAGGAACACCAGCGGCGAAGGCGGCGCUCUGGGCCGGAACUGACGCUGAGGCGCGAAAGCGUGGGGAGCAAACAGG
rnacentral:rRNA from 1 species